AUUGAACGCUGGCGGCAGGCUUAACACAUGCAAGUCGAACGAGUGGCGGACGGGUGAGUAAUGUAUGGGAAACUGCCCGAUGGCGGGGGAAAACUACUGGAAACGGUAGCUAAUACCGCAUACCAUCGGAUGUGCCCAGAUGGGAUUAGCUAGUAGGUGGGGUAACGGCUCACCUAGGCGACGAUCCCUAGCUGGUCUGAGAGGAUGACCAGACACACUGGAACUGAGACACGGCCCAGACUCCGACGGUGGGCAGCAGUGGGGAAUAUUGGACAAUGGGGGAAAGCCUGAUGCAGCCAUGCCGCGUGUAUGAGGAAGGCCUUCGGUUUGUAAAGCACUUUAAGCUGGGAGGCGGUACCAGCAGAAUAAGCACCGGCUAACUUCGUGCCAGCAGCCGCGGUAAUUC
rnacentral:rRNA from 1 species